CUACAUGAACUUCAAAGCGUUUACUAAAUUCUCUGGUAGGUAUCUUGUAAGAGACAAGUCCAGAUAACUGUUCACUUUUAAAUGUACUAAAGUCAGUCAGGGUGUGGAGGGCCAAUGCAGCAGUUAAGGGUGCAGUCUGCUCUGAGGACCCACGUUCUAUUCCAAAAACCCACAUAGUGGCUCACAACUGCUGUGGUUCCAGCUCCAUGAAGACUUGACACACAGACUAUAAAAACAACAGCAACAACAAAACAUCGCCAGGUAUGGUGCUGGCAUACACUGUUUGUCUGUCAUCCCAGUUCUUAGGAUGCUGAGGCAGGAGACUCUUUAGUUCCAGGCCAGGCUGAGAGUUACAUCGGGAGACCUCGGUUCAGUAAACAAACAAGCAAUCCUACACUUCUAGGGACCAGUGAGGCCAACACUGCUCAACACCGGUUGGCCAACCCCAACCCUGCUAACUCCUCACCUCUUUCUGGAGACUUGUGGUCUUGAGUUCAGUACUGUGGGUGGAUUUCUCAUCCUCUCUCCGUCUCCUCAGGCUUGUCUCCUCCAUGGUUGCCCGCUGGUAGCUCCAGGGGCUGAGAGGAGAGUCUCUUGAGUCAGCUGGUGCAAACAAAAUACAAAGGGUGGGGUCAUCAAAGUCUCUAAGGAGCUGCUCCCGCUAAACAGAGCACAGUCCUCGGUCUCCCCAAGAAUACUCUGUUCCACUCCAGGAUGAAAGCCAGACCUGAGUGCUGUCCAAGCCACAGGGCUUCCUUCCCAUUGCCCUUCUCAUUAUCUUGUAUCCUCCUCCUUGCUCCCAGUACAUCUAAAAUAUACUCUACUUCCAUGAUCCAGUGUCACUGCUUCUCAAAACUAUAAAGGCAUUAUUACAUAUUACAUGCAUAUUAAUGCAUACCUGUACUCCCAGUACCGAGGUAGCUGAGGUAGGAAAUAGUAAGUUCAAGGCCAGCCUGGGUUACCCAGCAAGUCAAGCCAAAUCGGGGUACAUAGAAAGACUCUGUCUUUAAAAGAAAAAGGAAAAAGAAGAAAGAUAAAAUAAACCAAGAAUUGAAAGGUACUGAAAAGUACUAAGGCAGGAAUGAUUUGCUGGGACAAACCAGCUCAGAGUACAGUACAGAGAGAUGAUGGAGAGAGGUGAUGGUGGUACCCUGUAUCUAAAUCCCUUCUCUGUCUAGGCUCCAGCUCGACAGAAGCAGGACCUACCUGAGUCGGUGAUACUCUCUCAGCUGACCACCACCCAGCCCGCAAUUGUAGGGCCAAGCUCCAGGAAGGGCCAUGUCUUGUGCCUAGGCGUGGAGGAAGCCAGAAGGUACAGAGGUCAACAGAGGUAAUUAUUAAACACCCACCUCCCCCGUUUUUUUUUUCCUUCUAGGCAACAAAGCCCAGAUAGACACCGCCAGACACAAAAUAGGAGAACCAGCAUUGGAGCUGAAGCUGUAGCUGAGACGUUAUCAGACUGGGCGGAGCCAGC
rnacentral:lncRNA from 1 species